CACCGCCGCGCCGCACCGAACGUCUUCAUCGCCUGCAGUCGAUCUGUCUGCGCCGAUUUGUAUUUACUAUUCAUUAAUUAUUUGGUACCUUAUCCCUAGUUAUAGUAGUUACUAGUUUAGUACGGUAGUAGCCGUCGUAACAUUGAGUCGUCCGUCGUUCUAGAGUUGUCGGUCGUGUGUGUCGUCUCCCAACACUCGUUCGUCGGGAUAAAUAGACGAAAAUAGACGUGCGCGAUCGAUUAUUAUAAUAUGCAGUGUGGCGGACGAUCCGAAAUGUGUCGGAUACAUCGAAAUUAACUUGCGUUUAGACCUUGAACGGUUGUACGUAUUGUUAUAUUGUUAUCAUCGCACAAAUAAUUCGAUUAAACCCGUCGAAAAUAAUAAUAACUACAUAUUUACUCGGUCGUGCCAUACAUAAUAUAAUAGUUUGAGCGAUUCUUUGGAUAUUUAUGGGAUGUAAUUCGAGCAAAAGUACGUCUAAAGCUGUACACAAAAAAAAAUUACUACCCAUCAUGAGCUUCCUGCCGUCCAGCAAUGCUAAUCAAUACCAAAAAAAGCAGAUACCAGCAACCAAAGGAUUAGCAUCAUCUUUUGGAUUCAAAAAGACGACACAAACCAAUAAGAUCAGACCAAUAUCAGCUCCUAUUCCGUUUGUUGAAAAGCCAAACAAUUUUGAAUCUAAAAUGCUACCCAAGCCAAUGUCAACACCUACGGAAAAGUGUUCAAGAAGUAUACCUAAAAGUAAUACACCUUCUCCCAACAGGUUUGGAUUCUGUAAACCAGCAACAAAACUUGUUCAACCCACAACACAAGUAACAACAAAAAAAGUAGAAGUGGAAAGAAGAAGUCAAUCUGAACCACAAAAAAGGGAAAUUCCUAAACUUUAUUCAAGUGGAACAAAAAUUGCUGUGUCCAGAGUUACCUCUAGUCAUUUACCUAGGCCUCAAAUACCAAUCAGAUAUCAAGUAUCCAAAAGUCCCGAUAAAAAUGCCAAAACAGCUGCCAACAUGAGACUAAAGAAUGAAGCAAUCAAACAAAUGCAUCAAGGAGUAACCAUUCGAAAGUUAACUGACUCUGUUGAAUUUACAGAAGUAAUUGCUUUUAAUAGACCAUCAAGGCUAACAAUAAAUUCAAAUGCUAAAGGUUCUUUAAUUAGGGAACGAGCUAAUAAAUAUUUAAGACAAGUGUCAAGUUCAUCUUCAAAACAUUUGACAUCAUCUGAUGAUGAUUCAGAUUUGAGCAGUUAUGAAGAGAAACAUGACAAAGAGGAGUUUAUAAAAGAAAAGACUGAACAAUUUGAUAGAAAAGAUACUACAUGUAGUGAUGAAGAAUAUGGACCUGGUGAAGCAUUAGCAGUAGAAGAGUUCACAGAAAUGAAAGAUAAAAUAAAUGUCAUUGAUAAUAAAUUUGCCAAUGUUGAUAUGUCUGUAUCAUUACGUGAUGUAUUAUUGAAUAUCGAAGACACAACUUUUGCCACAUUAGCUGCUAUGUCUUCUACAAUAAGAAUUGAAGAUGAAACAUCACCAGAUGAUGAAUGUUUAAGUCCCACUGAAUCUGAGUCAGCUGAAUUUCCACAUAGUAAAACAGAAUCUACAAAUAAUGAUAAACGUGACAGUAUGUCACCAAUUUUGCGAUGCAAUAUCUCCAAAUCCGGUUCUUUUUCAUCAGACACUAGAGAUUUUUUUGAUGAUGAGAUAGCUGAUCAACCAGCACUUAUGUUUAGUGGUCCUCCAUCAGAGUCUUGCAAUGCAGAAGAUAUUGAUGAUGCUAUAUUUCGACUUGGAAACCAUUCCAGUUGUAACAAAAAAUCCAAAUCCUUGAGAAGAUCACUAAGUGCUGAUGGGUCCUUAAGUGAGAGUCUCAACUCUGACGAUCUGAUGCUUGAUGUUGACUAUGAUCAAACAGAUGAUAAAUUGGUCGAUCCUGAUAAUGAAGACCUAUUGAAAACACUGGAGAGUACCAAACAAAACGCAUUUAAUGAAUGGAAAUCUUUGACAUCUCCGAGAAACAGUAGUAGUUCACUCAAAGACGAAGUUCCAGUCAAAGAUGAAACAGAUUCUAAAGGCAGCAAUGGGGAUGUUCUAAUGAGCUUCGAUCGAUUUCGAGAGGUAACGGACGACAUAGCGAGUAUCAAGAACAUGCUAUUCGAACUAAACCGUGCCCUAAUAGAGGACAAGCAAGAUAUAACCUACCCAGAAGACCAGGAAGUCCAUUGCUGUUACGAGAAUCAAAUCUUGGAUUUGAAACAACAGGAGCUGAGUUGCGGAUCGUCCGUUUCAGAUAGCUUAUAUGGCCCAACAAAUGGAACAGAAGGACCGUACUAUUCAAAUGCUCAACGAACAGAUAGCCCAACGACCACGGCCAUCAAUAACAACAAUAGAAACCCGAAAUGCUGCCACUCAAACAGACAGAUGUCGGUCGACCACAGCUCCAACAUUAUGCACAUUCGAUAGAGAAGGACAAGCAAAUGGUCGUCCUGUAAUAAGGAGUCAAUUAUUUUAACACAACAAUACGUGCAGUGACAUGACAGAGAGAUCAAAGUCUGUGUCGGGCAAUCGCAUACGUAUCGGCAUGCUAAAGCACAAAUUUCUCAUGGACGCAGGGCGUACGUUGCCGAACGUUUG
rnacentral:misc_RNA from 1 species